UACAGAGGUGGCAAGCGUUGUUCGGAAUUACUGGGCGUAAAGGGCGCGUAGGCGGCCUUCUAAGUCGGACGUGAAAGCCCCAGGCUUAACCUGGGAACUGCGUCCGAUACUGGGAGGCUUGGAUUCGGGAGAGGGAUGUGGAAUUCCAGGUGUAGCGGUGAAAUGCGUAGAUAUCUGGAGGAACACCGGUGGCGAAGGCGGCAUCCUGGACCGAGAUCGACGCUGAGGCGCGAAAGCUAGGGAG
rnacentral:rRNA from 1 species